UGCGUUGGAAAAAUCUGUAGCUAGAAUCAGCAGCGCAGCGCCGCCGUUCGGUCGCCGAAACUAAACGUAGCUACGUCACGCGUGCGCCGAGCGCCAUCUAGCGGCGCGCUGCCUCCGCCGCAUCGCCUCACCUGCCUCGCGCGACAUUUCUCCGUCGCGCUCGCACCAGUGGCACGUAGAAAUAACCUCAAAACUCUCGCGUACCAACCAAUCACCAAAAUAUUGCUCCUCGCAGUAUUAAUAACAGUGACUACAAUCCGUAAGACGGCUAACAGUGUUAUGAACGUGACGUAAUCCUGUACACACUCCUGGAUUUGCCCUGCAGUGUUGCUUCAUAGUGAUUUUGAUAAAAUCGAAAGUUUACAGGACGAAUGUUCCUUUUGGUGGGCUGUCAUCGGGCAGCCCCCAAAUUUUGUGCCAUAAUGUGGUGGUUAAUAUUUUUAUGUGUUGUAAACGUUAAAACGUUCGGUGUAUUAGCAUCGAAUAGCAGUGGGACUAUAUCAGAAUCAAUAUGUUCGUUGAAGCAGUUCCAGUGCAACAAUGGCAAGUGCAUACCCAGCAUGUGGGUGUGUGAUCUGGAGAAGGACUGCGAAGACAACUCCGAUGAAGAAAUUGAAGAAUGCAAAAAAGAAAGUCGCACGUGCACACAGGCAGAGUUCCGCUGCAAGACUGGAAGAUGUAUUCCGAUGUCCUGGCACUGCGACAGUGAGAAAGACUGCCCUGAUGGCUCAGACGAAGAUCCUAGCACAUGCAAGGUGAAGUCGUGCGGGCCCGAGGAGUUCACCUGCAGAGGACGAGACGGCGAGUGCGUCCCGCUCACGUGGAUGUGCGACGACAACGCUGACUGCUCCGACGGAUCUGAUGAGAAAGCAUGCAAUGAGACGUGUCGUUCGGACGAGUUCACAUGUGGCAACGGCAAAUGCAUCCAGCUCCGAUGGGUGUGUGACGGUGAUGACGACUGCGGGGAUGACAGCGACGAAGUCAAGUGCCCUCCCCCGACUUGCCAGCCUCAGACACACUUCUCCUGCGGCAACGGACACUGCGUGUCAGCGUGGUGGCGCUGUGACGGCACUGAGGACUGCCCUGAUGGAAGCGAUGAAGUUGGCUGCACAGCGACUCCAAAGGUUCGAUCACCAUGCAUAUCAUCGGAGUUCGAAUGCAAGGACCGCAUGACCUGUGUCCACAAGGCGUGGGUGUGUGACGGAGACCGAGACUGUCCGGACGGUGGUGACGAAGACCCUCAACAGUGCAGGAGGAAUAUCACCUGCAGGCUUGACCAGUACCAGUGCAAUGAUCACAGCUGUAUCCCUGGAGCGCUGUACUGCAACGGAGAUAAAGACUGCCCCGAUGGAAGUGACGAACGGAAUUGCACACAACCGAAGCCAGUAUGCGACAAGAAGACAGAAUUCGACUGCGGCGCUGGCAUGUGCAUUCCUCUGUCGAAGGUGUGUGACAAGCAUCCAGACUGCCCGAACUUUGAAGACGAGCCUCGAGACAGAUGUGGGGAGAAUGAAUGCGAGAAGAACAAUGGAGGAUGUACACAGCGCUGUGUUGACACCCCUGUAGGAUACUACUGCGAUUGUGAAAAGGGAUACAAGCUUGUGGAUAACAGGACUUGUGAAGACGUCGACGAGUGUUCAGACCCUGGCGCGUGCUCACAGAUGUGCAUCAAUGAGAAAGGCACCUUCAAAUGCGAAUGCCACGUCGGUUAUGCCCGAGAUCCUCGAGAUAGGACCAGGUGUAAGGCAACUGAAGGCCAUCCCUCACUCCUGUUUGCCAGACGGUUCGAUAUCCGCAAGAUCAGCUUAGACCACCACGAAAUGGUUGCUAUAGUGAAUGACACGAAGUCAGCAACUGCGUUAGAUUACGUCUUCAGGACAGGAAUGAUCUUCUGGAGUGAUGUUACUGAUGAGAAGAUUUACAAAGCGCCAAUCGACGAAGGCACACAAAGAACAGUCGUGAUCGGAGACCAGCUCAUCACAUCAGACGGCUUGGCAGUCGACUGGAUAUACAACCACCUUUACUGGACGGAUACUGGGAAGAACCACAUCGAAUUAUCAGACCUGCAAGGGAACAUGAGGAAGAUUCUCAUCAGGGAUCAGCUUGAGGAACCUAGAGCUAUUGCCCUUAAUCCUUUAGACGGAUGGAUGUACUGGACCGAUUGGGGUCAGGUGCCGAAGAUCGAGCGAGCUGGCAUGGACGGCUCCCACAGACAGACCAUCGUGUCUUAUGACGUCAAAUGGCCCAACGGCUUGACACUGGACCUCGUCCGCAAACGUGUUUAUUGGGUGGACGCUAAAAUGAACAUGAUAUCGUCUUGCAACUACGAUGGAACAGGGCGUAGGGUUAUCCUAUACUCCACAGACGUGUUACGUCACCCAUUCUCCAUCACCACGUUCGAGGAUUGGGUCUACUGGACUGACUGGGACAAGGCCGCCGUCUACCGCGCCAACAAAUUCAACGGAAAAGAUAUUGAAGCUAUUACUCCUACACAUAACCUCCAAAACCCGAUGGUGAUCCACGUGUAUCACCCAUACCGCCAGCCCGAUGGUGUGAACCACUGCGCGGCUGUCAACGGUCACUGCUCCCAUCUCUGUCUCCCAGCACCGCGUAUCGGGGCGAACUCCCCUCGCGUCUCCUGCGCCUGCCCCAACGGGCUCAGACUACUGCCUGACAACCAGAUGUGCGUCGAAGACAGUGUCCCUGAAACACCUAAGACUGGUACAGGAAUCUCAAGCAGCGGCCGCGAUGCCGGCAUGGUAGCCGGUGUCGUUGUUGCAGUAAUCUCUGGAAUCAUCAUAUUGGCAGCACUGAUCGCAGUGGUUAUGUACAGACAUUACGUGCACCGUAAUGUUACAUCUAUGAACUUCGACAACCCGGUGUACCGCAAGACGACGGAGGACCAAUUCGCGCUCGAGAAGAAUGGCUACGCACCGGGCAGCAAGCUGUACCCCAGUACCGUGGGAGAAGAGGUGAGAGCGCUUACCGCCAUGGAGUGUACGCUUAACAUACAGAACAGUCUAAGAUAAGUCGCACAAGGACGCACUGCCCUCCGCCAAGCCAAUUAACGAGUUAGUGCCUCACGCCACUAACUCACUUCUUCCUUUCAUAUAUUUUUACUGUAAACUAAGAAUAUUAUUUUAAAAUGAGAACUUCACUCCAACUUCUUGUGUACAAUGAAUUAUACCCCGUGUAACUUGGCCAAAAUGAUAAAUUGUUGUAAAUAUCAAUGAAAACUAGCAUUAUUUUACUAUAGUAAAUAAUUAUUAUAAGGUCUGCCUAAGACAUUUUAAACUUGAUGUAUUUAGAGUUAUUAUAUUUACUAGAGAUUGUUUUAAGGAUUUAUAGGAGAUAUUUUCGUUUAGAUUUAAUGAUUGUGGCAAUUUAUAAUGUGCCAACAUUUUUACCGCAUCAGUAUUAAAUCAUAGUUGCCAAAUUAUUGGCUCUAAGUGGUAGGUGUAAAAUGCUGUAAAUAGUCCCUUUUAAAUAGCAAAUAUGAUUUUUGUAAUCUGCCUAAAGCUUAACAUAGACUUUACUAAUAAUGUUUUACUGCCGUAAUAUUUAUUUUUCAUGCGUUAACAUGCGAGGGCAUUAAUAUGGCCCAAGAACCUCUCAACACACCAGGUACAAAUGACUUUGUAUAGUGUACAAGCUGGAAGUAAAUACAGUAUAAUGUCAUUGAAUGUGAAAAGAAAGAGAAGGACAUGUGAUACUUAAAAUAGUGUUAUCCAGUGAAUGGGACUUAAGCUAACAUUUUUGUAGUAAACUCUAAAAAUAGUUAGCGUUAGUGCAGUGAAGUGAAAGCUUAUUGGAACAAAGUUCUGUUUGCUGUCAUGCCUCGCGCCGGGAUGGAUCUCAAAAUUACGAUUAUUUCAUCAGCUGUCAUAUCACAAGAUUUUGGUUUUUA
rnacentral:misc_RNA from 1 species